GGAUGUGAGGGCGGUCUGGCUGCGACAUCUGUCACCCCAUUGCUCGCCAGGGUUGUUGCAGCUCAUCUGUCCGGCUAGGCUGUUAUCUUCCUCUCCCCUCGCCACGCCAUGCAUGUCCCUCUAGAAGCCACUCGCCGAAUAGAGGAGACCUGGUCUUUGGUCAAGGGUAGUGGAUAGCUACACUCCCCUCCUAAAACUUCCAAACAAACUCUCAAGUCCAACAUAUGCAAUGAAAACCUGGACCUU
rnacentral:snRNA from 1 species